AGUUACCAGUGUGUCUCGGAAGGCAACUUUCUACAAUGGACCAAGCUCUACGGACUUCAUAAAUGUCCAUGACAUUUUUCUUGAAUGUGAUCAUGAUUCAAUCAUAUACCUUGGGAAGUCUGUUGAACCAACAAUAUAUGAUCUUUUGGGUGAUCAAGAGGUUUGUAAUCUGGACUUUUCUGAAAACUUUGUAAUAUCUUCUUUCUGCUAUGCUUCUUGGUUAUUUUGGAAUCUUUCUGCCACAAUUUUGCAAUGCAAGGUUGAAAUCUGCUUGUUGAAAAAUGGAAAACCAUCAUGGACGAAGAAGUUUCUUUGCUCCAAAGUCAGGUUGUUGUGUCUUAAGACUGGCUCGAGGUGACAAAAUAUGCUAGAUUGG